rnacentral:rRNA from 1 species
GACGUAGGGUGCAAGCGUUGUCCGGAAUUAUUGGGCGUAAAGAGCUCGUAGGCGGUCUGUCGCGUCUGCUGUGAAAACUCGGGGCUUAACCCCGGGCCUGCAGUGGGUACGGGCAGACUAGAGUGCGGUAGGGGAGACUGGAAUUCCUGGUGUAGCGGUGAAAUGCGCAGAUAUCAGGAGGAACACCGGUGGCGAAGGCGGGUCUCUGGGCCGAUACUGACGCUGAGGAGCGAAAGCGUGGGGAGCGAACAGG